AAUGUGCCAUAGGGGUUCGUAGCUGUCGAGUUUUUUGCAUCUCUGCUUUUUAGCUCCUUGGGAUCUAUGUGGAAAUGGUUCACUGUGGUUGGUCUUUUUUAUGUUCUAUUGCUUAUGACUACUUUUUAGUAUUUAUUUAAAAAAAUUGUAUAUGACCCUUCAUCUGAAGAUAUUGGGCAGUUCACAGCACAAAACCACAGAACAAAACCACAAAAUACAGAAAACAAGAACAAAAUAAAAACAAAAAUCCCCCCUUCCCACAAGCACAUUUAAAAGGAAACAGAAUGUUUAAUUACCCAAAGUCAUGAUUGUUAUGUUGUCGUCAUUCAAACCCCUUUCAAACUCCCAGCCAAUCACCUCUCACCCCCAGCAUUCCAAACUCCCCCUCCCUAGCCAACUUUACCAUGAAUCUUCUAGUAUACUGUACUUACUUCUGUUACGUUAAUUAUUUUGCUAUAGGUGUAUAUAACUUUAAAUUCAAACACCAGAACAUCACAACUGAGCUUUAAGGAAACACACAUGCACAUGAAAUUUCUGAGAGUCUCACUAGAGAACAAGUGUGGCAUAGUGGUUAAAGGCUCAGAUCUGGGAGACCUGGAUUCAAAUCACUCCUUAGCUGGGUGACCCUGGGGACCAGGCACUGCAUCACAGCCUAACCAACCUCACAGGAUUAUUGUCCGUGUUAAAUCAGGAGGGCAAGAGCCAUGUGACACCACCGGGAGCUCCCUGGAGAAAAAGGUAGCCUUUAAACGCCAUAAAGGAAUUUCAGUAAGGACAAAUGUCAGGUUCUGCAUAAAGGCAGGUAUAAUCAGCAAAUAUAUAAGAUGGGGGACAUCUGGAUUCCCAGGAGUACAUGUGAAAACAAUCCAGGAGUGUUAGCAGAACUAAAGCUAAACAUGAGUCAAAAGUGUGACGCAGCAGCAAAGAGAGCUAAUGCUAUCCAAGGGCGCAUCAACAGAAGCCGAGUGUCCAGAUAAAGGGAAGCCACAGUACUGUUAUCUUCUUCCUUGGUCAGACCACGUCUGGAGUGCUGUGUCUUGUUUUGGGUGUCACAAUUUGAAUAGGAUACUGACAAGCUGGA